UACGUAGGGUGCGAGCGUUAAUCGGAAUUACUGGGCGUAAAGCGUGCGCAGGCGGUUCGUUAAGUCAGAUGUGAAAGCCCCGAGCUCAACUCGGGAACUGCAUUUGAAACUGGCGGGCUGGAGUGUGGCAGAGGGGGGUGGAAUUCCACGUGUAGCAGUGAAAUGCGUAGAGAUGUGGAGGAACACCGAUGGCGAAGGCAGCCCCCUGGGCCAACACUGACGCUCAGGCACGAAAGCGUGGGGAGCAAACAGG
rnacentral:rRNA from 1 species